rnacentral:rRNA from 1 species
AUUGAACGCUGGCGGCAGGCCUAACACAUGCAAGUCGAGCGGUAGAGAGGAGCUUGCUUCUCUUGAGAGCGGCGGACGGGUGAGUAAUGCCUAGGAAUCUGCCUGGGAGUGGGGGAUAACGGUCGGAAACGGACGCUAAUACCGCAAACGCCCUACGGAAGAAAGUGUGGGAUCUUCGUACUUCACGAUAUCAGAUGGGCCUAGGUAGGAUUAGCUAGUUGGUGAGGUAAAGGCUCACCAAGGCGACGAUCCGUAGCUGGUCUGAGAGGAUGAUCAGUCACACUGGAACUGAGACACGGUCCAUACUCCUACGGGAGGCAGCAGUGGGGAAUAUUGGACAAUGGGCGCAAGCCUGAUCCAGCCAUGCCGCGUGUGUGAAGAAGGUCUUCGGAUUGUAAAGCACUUUAAGUUGGGAGGAAGGUCAGUAGCUUAAUACGUUGCUGAUUUGACGUUACCGACAGAAUAAGCACCGGCUAACUCUGUGCCAGCAGCCGCAGUAAAAC